rnacentral:rRNA from 1 species
UACAGAGGUCUCAAGCGUUGUUCGGAUUCAUUGGGCGUAAAGGGUGCGUAGGCGGUCCGUCACGUCGGCUGUGAAAACCCGGGGCUCAACUCCGGGCCUGCAGUCGAUACGGGCGGACUAGAGUACUGCAGGGGAGACUGGAAUUCCUGGUGUAGCGGUGAAAUGCGCAGAUAUCAGGAGGAACACCGGUGGCGAAGGCGGGUCUCUGGGCAGUAACUGACGCUGAGGAGCGAAAGCGUGGGGAGCGAACAGG